GUUAACGCGAUUCAACCCUAGUAGGAUAUGCUAAACACUGCCGCUUGAAGUCUGUUUAGAUGAAAUAUAAUCAAGCUAGUAUCAUGUUGGUUGUUUAUUGCUUAGCAUGAUGCGAAAAUUAUCAAUAAACUACACACGUAGAAAGAUUUGUAUCAGGACCUCUGGACGCGGGUUCGAAUCCCGCCGUCUCCAUUA
rnacentral:tmRNA from 1 species